rnacentral:rRNA from 1 species
UACAUGGGGUGCAACCGUUGCUCGGAAUUAUUGGGCGUAAAGCGCACGUAGGCGGUUUGUUAAGUCGGAUGUGAAAUCCCUCGGCUCAACUGAGGAAGUGCAUCCGAAACUGGCAGGCUUGAGUACUAAAGAGGGUCGCGGAAUUCCCGGUGUAGCGGUGAAAUGCGCAGAUAUCGGGAAGAACACCCGUGGCGAAGGCGGCUCUCUGGGACGGUACCGACGCUGAGACGCGAAAGCGUGGGGAGCGAACAGG